GUGAAUUCCUAACAUUCAUUUCAAUCAAAGUUGAGCAUUGCCAAAGCUAUCUUAUUACACACUUCAGUCUCACAAUCCUCUAACUGAUUAUUGAUCCAUGUUUUGUUCCCUUUUCUAGAAUCUGUUGGACCUCUUGGACAUGCUUUCCCCCGACCACUACAACGUCUCUACAGCAGGGGCUGAUUGGCCUACGAGACCAGACAGUACUCCACCUUGUACCUCCCCACACACACAGCGUUUGCUCUUCAGUAAGUCAUAUGGAUAGACAGCGUGUGGAAAUGAUAACCAGCAAGCUGAUGUAAAGAUCAAAUCUAAUAAUUUUGAGUUUGAAAGACAUUGUCGAAAUGCCUUAUUUUAUUGGGUAGAUGGGGAGGUUCUUUCAAGGUUGACAUUAUGCUUCGGUGCGAAACUUGAACUUGAAUGUUGACAUGUCGGGCACUGAAGCUGAAUGAAUAUGCCAGCGUUGUGGUAAACUUUGCAUUGGCUUAUGAAACUGGUCUUCAAUGUGUUUAAAUGACCAGUUACCCUGUCUGAAACACGACAAUUACAUUUCACUCCACUUUGAAUGCAAAAUAGCCUUAUUUGGCUUGCUAAUUUGCAUCAGUCACAAUUGCAUAGACAAGACUGUCAAGACUGUUUGUGGUUGAAGAUGCAGUGUGAGCCUGUGGGAGAUGUGUGUGUCAGGUUUUCAGAUGAGGCUGGGAGGCCUGGGUGGAGGAAAGGAGUCUGCUUGCAGUGCUGUCAGAGGAAGCGGAGGAGUUGCUACAGCUGAGACUGGGAUCUGGACUACUCACCUUCAUCAGUACCUGGAGCCGAGGCUACUCAAUACCAACAGAUACACGUGCACAUAUGUACACACACACAGUCAUGUCCUCAUCAUGUCCUGAAAUAGAUGUCAUUAGAAUGGUUGACGUGACAAAUAUGUCUCCUAUUACAAUGUUAUGAAAAUCCAUAGAGCAUAUCGUUUAUUUUUGCCCUUAAGACAAAGCUCAAUGACUAUUUCCACGCAUAGACACUGUGGUUCACACAUAGACACUGCAGGCACAAUGUCCUCUACAGUGGAGUGUCUCUAUACCAGUUGCCUACUGAUCCACCACAUCUCUCUCUGUGUGUCCUCUUCCUCUGGGCAGGUUUCAAGCAGAGGGAUGGAGAGUGGCACUGGCUGGCCCUGUCUGUCUCUCUGUCCAGACUGGAGAUGUAUGCUGACUGCUGCCUGUCAGACUGUAGACCCUGGAGGUCUCCACCCAAGGUCUCAUUCUGCUGGGUGGGGCCAUCCAGCCCUACCACAAACCCUUUACCGACUAACACAUACCACAGACACCAACAACUGGCACUCCCAUCUGAAAAGAAGGGACCUAUGCAUGUGGAAUAUACUGAUGUUUACUCGUAAGAAGCUACCUGGUGGAUAUUGACCUCACCGUCUGGGGCUGCAACUGUGGAACUGUCACUAGAGGUUCCGGACCAUGUACCGUCGCAGGAGGUUCCAGACCGUGUACCGUCGCAGGAGGUUCCGGAAUCUCCGGACCGGGGACCGUCGCCGGAAGCUCCGGACUGGG
rnacentral:lncRNA from 13 species